rnacentral:rRNA from 1 species
CUUCUCUGAUGUUAGCGGCGGACGGGUGAGUAACACGUGGAUAACCUACCUAUAAGACUGGGAUAACUUCGGGAAACCGGAGCUAAUACCGGAUAAUAUUUUGAACCGCAUGGUUCAAAAGUGAAAGACGGUCUUGCUGUCACUUAUAGAUGGAUCCGCGCUGCAUUAGCUAGUUGGUAAGGUAACGGCUUACCAAGGCAACGAUGCAUAGCCGACCUGAGAGGGUGAUCGGCCACACUGGAACUGAGACACGGUCCAGACUCCUACGGGAGGCAGCAGUAGGGAAUCUUCCGCAAUGGGCGAAAGCCUGACGGAGCAACGCCGCGUGAGUGAUGAAGGUCUUCGGAUCGUAAAACUCUGUUAUUAGGGAAGAACAUAUGUGUAAGUAACUGUGCACAUCUUGACGGUACCUAAUCAGAAAGCCACGGCUAACUACGUGCCAGCAGCCGCGGUAAUACGUAGGUGGCAAGCGUUAUCCGGAAUUAUUGGGCGUAAAGCGCGCGUAGGCGGUUUUUUAAGUCUGAUGUGAAAGCCCACGGCUCAACCGUGGAGGGUCAUUGGAAACUGGAAAACUUGAGUGCAGAAGAGGAAAGUGGAAUUCCAUGUGUAGCGGUGAAAUGCGCAGAGAUAUGGAGGAACACCAGUGGCGAAGGCGACUUUCUGGUCUGUAACUGACGCUGAUGUGCGAAAGCGUGGGGAUCAAACAGGAUUAGAUACCCUGGUAGUCCACGCCGUAAACGAUGAGUGCUAAGUGUUAGGGGGUUUCCGCCCCUUAGUGCUGCAGCUAACGCAUUAAGCACUCCGCCUGGGGAGUACGACCGCAAGGUUGAAACUCAAAGGAAUUGACGGGGACCCGCACAAGCGGUGGAGCAUGUGGUUUAAUUCGAAGCAACGCGAAGAACCUUACCAAAUCUUGACAUCCUUUGACAACUCUAGAGAUAGAGCUUUCCCCUUCGGGGGACAAAGUGACAGGUGGUGCAUGGUUGUCGUCAGCUCGUGUCGUGAGAUGUUGGGUUAAGUCCCGCAACGAGCGCAACCCUUAAGCUUAGUUGCCAUCAUUAAGUUGGGCACUCUAAGUUGACUGCCGGUGACAAACCGGAGGAAGGUGGGGAUGACGUCAAAUCAUCAUGCCCCUUAUGAUUUGGGCUACACACGUGCUACAAUGGACAAUACAAAGGGCAGCGAAACCGCGAGGUCAAGCAAAUCCCAUAAAGUUGUUCUCAGUUCGGAUUGUAGUCUGCAACUCGACUACAUGAAGCUGGAAUCGCUAGUAAUCGUAGAUCAGCAUGCUACGGUGAAUACGUUCCCGGGUCUUGUACACACCGCCCGUCACACCACGAGAGUUUGUAACACCCGAAGCCGGUGGAGUAACCUUUUAGGAGCUAGCC